AAGCGUGCGCAGGCGGUUAUGUAAGACAGAUGUGAAAUCCCCGGGCCUCAACCUGGGAACUGCAUUAGUGACUGCAUAGCUGGAGUACGGCAGAGGGGGAUGGAAUUCCGCGUGUAGCAGUGAAAUGCGUAGAUAUGCGGAGGAACACCGAUGGCGAAGGCAAUCCCCUGGGCCUGUACUGACGCUCAUGCACGAAAGCGUGGGGAGCAAACAGGAUUAGAUACCCGGGU
rnacentral:rRNA from 1 species